CCUACGGGAGGCAGCAGUGGGGAAUAUUGCACAAUGGGGGAAACCCUGAUGCAGCGAAGCCGCGUGAGUGAAGAAGUAUUUCCGUAUGUUAAGCUCUAUCAGCAGGGAAGAAAAUGACGGUACCUGAUCAAGAAGCCACGGCUCACUACGUGCCAGCAGCCGCGGUAAUACGUAGGGGGCACGCGUUAUCCGGAUUUACUGGGGGGAAAGGGAGCGUAGACGGGAGGGCAAGUCUGAAGUGAAAUGUCGGGGCUUAACCCCGGAACUGCUUUGGAAACUGUGCAGCUAGAGUGCAGGAGAGGUAAGUGGAAUUCCUGGUGUAGCGGUGAAAUGCGUAGAUAUUAGGAGGAACACCAGUGGCGAAGGCGGCUUACUGGACUGUAACUGACGUUGAGGCUCGAAAGCGUGGGGAUCAAACAGGAUUAGAUACCCGUGUAGUC
rnacentral:rRNA from 1 species